AGUGAACGCUGGCGGUAGGCCUAACAUAUGCAAGUCGAACGGCAGCACAGGAGAGCUUGCUCUCUGGGUGGCGAGUGGCGGACGGGUGAGGAAUACAUCGGAAUCUGCUUUUUCGUGGGGGAUAACGUAGGGAAACUUACGCUAAUACCGCAUACGACCUACGGGUGAAAGCAGGGGAUCUUCGGACCUUGCGCGAUUGAAUGAGCCGAUGUCGGAUUAGCUAGUUGGCGGGGUAAAGGCCCACCAAGGCGACGAUCCGUAGCUGGUCUGAGGGGAGGAUCAGCCACACUGGAACUGAGACACGGUCCAGACUCCUACGGGGGGCAGCAGUGGGGAAUAUUGGACAAUGGGCGCAAGCCUGAUCCAGCCAUACCGUGUGGGUGAAGAAGGCCUUCGGGUUGUAAAGCCCUUUUGUUGGGAAAGAAAUCCAGCUGGUUAAUACCCGGUUGGGAUGACGGUACCCAAAGAAUAAGCACCGGCUAACUUCGUGCCAGCCGCCGCGGUAA
rnacentral:rRNA from 1 species